UCCCUGGUGGCUCAGAGGGUAAAGAAUCUGCCUGCAAUGCAGGAGACCCAGGUUCAAUCCCUGGAGAAGGAA
rnacentral:tRNA from 1 species